AAGUUGGGGAGACGNGUCGGAACACGGUAAGCGUAUCGGAAGAGCGCCUGGAAAAC
rnacentral:rRNA from 1 species